rnacentral:rRNA from 1 species
UACGUAGGUGGCAAGCGUUUGUCCGGAAUUAUUGGGCGUAAAGCGCGCGCAGGCGGCCUCUUAAGUCUGAUGUGAAAGCCCCCGGCUCAACCGGGGAGGGCCAUUGGAAACUGGGAGGCUUGAGUAUAGGAGAGAAGAGUGGAAUUCCACGUGUAGCGGUGAAAUGCGUAGAGAUGUGGAGGAACACCAGCGGCGAAGGCGACUCUUUGGCCUAUAACUGACGCUGAGGCGCGAAAGCGUGGGGAGCAAACAGG